GUUAUUACUUCCUUUUAUAUGUUGAAAGUCAUGUUUAUAGUUGAGGGAAAUUUGACAAAUAAAUUAAUUCUAGAAAGUAAGUAAGUGC